CUUGGUCAUUUAGAGGAAGUAAAAGUCGUAACAAGGUUUCCGUAGGUGAACCUGCGGAAGGAUCAUUCAUAAUAAGUGUUUUAUGGCACUUUUUUAAAUCCAUAUCCACCUUGUGUGCAAUGUCAGGGUUGGUCUCUUGAAAAAGAGAUCAGCCCCAAACAUCAACCCAAUCUUAACUCUUUGUCUGAAAAAUAUUAUGAAUAAAACAAUUCAAAAUACAACUUUCAACAACGGAUCUCUUGGCUCUCGCAUCGAUGAAGAACGCAGCGAAAUGCGAUACGUAAUGUGAAUUGCAGAAUUCAGUGAAUCAUCGAAUCUUUGAACGCAUAUUGCGCUCUUUGGUAUUCCGAAGAGCAUGCUUGUUUGAGUAUCAGUAAACACCUCAAAGCCUUUUUUUGUUAAGAGGCCUUGGACUUGAACAAUCCCAACACUUUUCCUCCAAGAAAAGUGGCGGGUUGCUUGAAAUGCAGGUGCAGCUGGACAUUCUCCUGAGCUAAAAGCAUAUUCAUUUAGUCCCGUCAAACGGAUUAUUACUUUUGCUGCAGCUAACAUAAAGGGAGUUUGACCAUUUUGGCUGACUGAUGCAGGAUUUUCACAAGAGUCUUCAAAAGCUUUUGUUAAACUCGAUCUCAAAUCAAGUAAGACUACCCGCUGAACUUAAGCAUAUCAAUAAGCGGAGGA
rnacentral:rRNA from 1 species